AACGAACGCUGGCGGCAUGCCUAACACAUGCAAGUCGAACGAGACCUUCGGGUCUAGUGGCGCACGGGUGCGUAACGCGUGGGAACCUGCCCUUAGGUUCGGAAUAACUCCCCGAAAGGGGUGCUAAUACCGGAUAAUUUCUUCGGACCAACGAUUUAUCGCCUUUGGAUGGGCCCGCGUUGGAUUAGCUAGUUGGUAGGGUAAAAGCCUACCAAGGCGACGAUCCAGAGCUGGUCUGAGAGGAUGAUCAGCCACACUGGGACUGAGACACGGCCCAGACUCCUACGGGAGGCAGCAGUGGGGAAUAUUGGACAAUGGGCGAAAGCCUGAUCCAGCAAUGCCGCGUGAGUGAUGAAGGCCUUAGGGUUGUAAAGCUCUUUUACCCGGGAUGAUAAUGACAGUACCGGGAGAAUAAGCUCCGGCUAACUCCGUG
rnacentral:rRNA from 1 species